rnacentral:misc_RNA from 1 species
GCGUCAUAAGGCCCUGCCUUGCGUUGAGACUUUCAUUCUAGAAACUCUCCAAGCACAUGGGCGUCUGUCGUGCCUGAACCGCAACACACUGCAUGUAAGGAGUUCGGCAAGCGCCAAAAACUUGUCUA